GAUGAAGAACGUAGCGAAAUGCGAUAAGUAAUGUGAAUUGCAGAAUUCCGUGAAUCAUCGAAUUUUUGAACGCACAUUGCGCCCCCUGGUAUUCCGGGGGGCAUGCCUGUCCGAGCGUCAUUGCUGCCCUCAAGCACGGCUUGUGUGUUGGGCCCCCGCCCCCCGGCUUCGGGGGGCGGGCCCGAAAGGCAGCGGCGGCACCGCGUCCGGUCCUCGAGCGUAUGGGGCUUCGUCACCCGCUCUGUAGGCCCGGCCGGCGCCCGCCGGCGACCCCAAUCAAUCUUUCCAGGUUGACCUCGGAUCAGGUAGGGAUACCCGCUGAACUUAAGCAUAUCAAUAAGCGGAGGA
rnacentral:misc_RNA from 1 species